rnacentral:rRNA from 1 species
UUGCAGAAUCCCGUGAACCAUCGAGUCUUUGAACGCAAGUUGCGCCCGAAGCCCUUGGGCUGAAGGCACGUCUGCCUGGGCGUCACGC